rnacentral:rRNA from 2 species
GGGUUGUGAGGUUAAGCGACCAAGCGUACACGGUGGAUGCCCUGGCAGUCAGAGGCGAUGAAGGACGUGCUAAUCUGCGAAAAGCGCCGGCGAGGUGAUAUGAACCCUUGACCCGGCGAUGUCCGAAUGGGGAAACCCAGUGUGACUCGUCACACUAUCAUUAACUGAAUCCAUAGGUUAAUGAGGCGAACCGGGGGAACUGAAACAUCUAAGUACCCCGAGGAAAAGAAAUCAACCGAGAUUCCCCCAGUAGCGGCGAGCGAACGGGGAGGAGCCCAGAGCCUGAAUCAGCAGGUGUGUUAGUGGAAGCGUCUGGAAAGGCACGCGAUACAGGGUGAGAGCCCCGUACACGAAAAUGCACCUGCUGUGAGCUCGAUGAGUAGGGCGGGACACGUGGUAUCCUGUCUGAAUAUGGGGGGACCAUCCUCCAAGGCUAAAUACUCCUGACUGACCGAUAGUGAACCAGUACCGUGAGGGAAAGGCGAAAAGAACCCCGGCGAGGGGAGUGAAAAAGAACCUGAAACCGUGUACGUACAAGCAGUGGGAGCACAGGUUUACCUGUGUGACUGCGUACCUUUUGUAUAAUGGGUCAGCGACUUAUAUUCUGUAGCAAGGUUAACCGAAUAGGGGAGCCGGAGGGAAACCGAGUCUUAACCGGGCGUUAAGUUGCAGGGUAUAGACCCGAAACCCGGUGAUCUAGCCAUGGGCAGGUUGAAGGUUGGGUAACACUAACUGGAGGACCGAACCGACUAAUGUUGAAAAAUUAGCGGAUGACCUGUGGCUGGGGGUGAAAGGCCAAUCAAACCGGGAGAUAGCUGGUUCUCCCCGAAAGCUAUUUAGGUAGCGCCUCGUGAACUCAUCUCCGGGGGUAGAGCACUGUUUCGGCUAGGGGGCCAUCCCGGCUUACCAACCCGAUGCAAACUGCGAAUACCGGAGAAUGUUAUCACGGGAGACACACGGCGGGUGCUAACGUCCGUCGUGAAGAGGGAAACAACCCAGACCGCCAGCUAAGGUCCCAAAGUCAUGGUUAAGUGGGAAACGAUGUGGGAAGGCCCAGACAGCCAGGAUGUUGGCUUAGAAGCAGCCAUCAUUUAAAGAAAGCGUAAUAGCUCACUGGUCGAGUCGGCCUGCGCGGAAGAUGUAACGGGGCUAAACCAUGCACCGAAGCUGCGGCAGCGGCACGCAAGUGUUGUUGGGUAGGGGAGCGUUCUGUAAGCCGUUGAAGGUGUGCUGUGAGGCAUGCUGGAGGUAUCAGAAGUGCGAAUGCUGACAUAAGUAACGAUAAAGCGGGUGAAAAGCCCGCUCGCCGGAAGACCAAGGGUUCCUGUCCAACGUUAAUCGGGGCAGGGUGAGUCGACCCCUAAGGCGAGGCCGAAAGGCGUAGUCGAUGGGAAACGGGUUAAUAUUCCCGUACUUGGUGUUACUGCGAAGGGGGGACGGAGAAGGCUAUGUUGGCCGGGCGACGGUUGUCCCGGUUUAAGCGUGUAGGCUGGUUUUCCAGGCAAAUCCGGAAAAUCAAGGCUGAGGCGUGACGACGAGGCACCACGGUGCUGAAGCAACAAAUGCCCUGCUUCCAGGAAAAGCCUCUAAGCGUCAGGUAACAUCAAAUCGUACCCCAAACCGACACAGGUGGUCAGGUAGAGAAUACCAAGGCGCUUGAGAGAACUCGGGUGAAGGAACUAGGCAAAAUGGUGCCGUAACUUCGGGAGAAGGCACGCUGACAUGUAGGUGAAGCGGUUUACCCGUGGAGCUGAAGUCAGUCGAAGAUACCAGCUGGCUGCAACUGUUUAUUAAAAACACAGCACUGUGCAAACACGAAAGUGGACGUAUACGGUGUGACGCCUGCCCGGUGCCGGAAGGUUAAUUGAUGGGGUCAGCGCAAGCGAAGCUCCUGAUCGAAGCCCCGGUAAACGGCGGCCGUAACUAUAACGGUCCUAAGGUAGCGAAAUUCCUUGUCGGGUAAGUUCCGACCUGCACGAAUGGCGUAAUGAUGGCCAGGCUGUCUCCACCCGAGACUCAGUGAAAUUGAACUCGCUGUGAAGAUGCAGUGUACCCGCGGCAAGACGGAAAGACCCCGUGAACCUUUACUAUAGCUUGACACUGAACACUGGUCCUUGAUGUGCAGGAUAGGUGGGAGGCUUUGAAGCGUGGACGCCAGUCUGCGUGGAGCCGUCCUUGAAAUACCACCCUUUAAUGGCUGGUGUUCUAACGUGGGCCCCUGACCGGGGUUGCGGACAGUGUCUGGUGGGUAGUUUGACUGGGGCGGUCUCCUCCCAAAGAGUAACGGAGGAGCACGAAGGUUGGCUAAUCCUGGUCGGACAUCAGGAGGUUAGUGCAAUGGCAUAAGCCAGCUUGACUGCGAGCGUGACGGCGCGAGCAGGUGCGAAAGCAGGUCAUAGUGAUCCGGUGGUUCUGAAUGGAAGGGCCAUCGCUCAACGGAUAAAAGGUACUCCGGGGAUAACAGGCUGAUACCGCCCAAGAGUUCAUAUCGACGGCGGUGUUUGGCACCUCGAUGUCGGCUCAUCACAUCCUGGGGCUGAAGUAGGUCCCAAGGGUAUGGCUGUUCGCCAUUUAAAGUGGUACGCGAGCUGGGUUUAGAACGUCGUGAGACAGUUCGGUCCCUAUCUGCCGUGGGCGCUGGAAGAUUGAGGGGGGCUGCUCCUAGUACGAGAGGACCGGAGUGGACGCAUCACUGGUGUUCGGGUUGUCAUGCCAAUGGCACUGCCCGGUAGCUAAAUGCGGAAGAGAUAAGUGCUGAAAGCAUCUAAGCACGAAACUUGCCCCGAGAUGAAUCUUCCCUGAGACUUUAAGUCUCCUGAAGGAACGUUGAAGACGACGACGUUGAUAGGCCGGGUGUGUAAGCGCAGCGAUGCGUUGAGCUAACCGGUACUAAUGAACCGUGAGGCUUAACCUUACAACGCCGAAG